UACGUGAGGUGGCAAGCGUUUGUCCGGAAUUAUUGGGCGUAAAGCGCGCGCAGGCGGCCUUUUAAGUCUGAUGUGAAAGCCCACGGCUCAACCGUGGAAGGUCAUUGGAAACUGAAGGCUUGAGUACAGAAGAGGAAAGCGGAAUUCCACGUGUAGCGGUGAAAUGGCGUAGAGAUGUGGAGGAACACCAGUGGCGAAGGCGGCUUUCUGGUCUGUAACUGACGCUGAGGCGCGAAAGCGUGGGGAGCAAACAG
rnacentral:rRNA from 1 species